AAAAAGAUAGAAUUAAUAAAUAUUUGUAAAAUGUUUUGUUUUCCUAAUGAUAAAGACAGCUUCAUGAAUAAUUAUGUUAGAAAAAAUGCAUAAACUCAUUUACACAACAUUUAGCAUUUAGGUCUCGAAUACAUAAUUAAAAUCCAAGCAACAGGAUUUUAGAAUAAUUGAGUAGAGCACCCAAAUUUAAUCAUCUAGAACACAAAUGAGCAGUAGAGGCUCCUAAAGCAAUUCAAAAUCUAACCAAAUCAAAACCAUCUGAUAGACACUUAUUACUUGAAUGUGAGAGAAAAGAUGAAGAUCUUAGUAUAGAAACUAACAAUUAGCA
rnacentral:lncRNA from 1 species